UCUCCUCUUCGCCAUCGCUUGCACUGAUCGUCGCUGUGCGGCCCUCACCAUCGUCGGUGUGCGACCGUCACCAUCGUCGCUGCGCCGCUCUCACCAUCAUCAUCUCCGUGCUUCUCAUCAUCGUCUUCGCUGUGCUCACAUCAUUGAAUAGUUUGAACGGUUUCUUGGUUAGCCAGAAACAAAAAUGGUGUGAAGAAUGUAAAGAAUGAAAAGAAGACAAGGAGUAGAGAAGAAGUAGAAGAGGAAGAAGAAAGGUGAGCUGAAUUAAAUUUCUUCAGAAGACAAAGAAGAAAUACAACUAUUAUUGAAGUCAACUUGCUCUUCUGAAACAACACCCAACUCUUCUGAAACAAAAAUGGUGUGAAGAAUAUAAAGAAUGAAAAGAAGACAAGGAGUAGAGAAGAAGUAGAAGAGGAAGAAGAAAGGAAAGGGAGAUUUAAUAACAUGUUCUAAGCAAAAGAAUUCAGAGUUAUUUCACACGGUUCUUGGAGGCUUAGGACAAUUUGGAGUUAUAACAAGAGCAAGAAUUUCUCUUCACCCAGCACCCACAAAGGAUAACAAUGAAGAUUAAGCAAUGAAGAUUAAGCUUACUAUUAUUGUGGUUUAUUGGCUAAGAUAGAGUGCUAUUUAGAAUCUUUACAUGUAUGGUUGACUAAUGAUUUUUAUUAGAAGAUACCUUUAUUGGCUAAGUGAUAUUAUGGUUUUGAUAUGGCUAUGCUUACUUUAAUUUGAGUUGUAUGAAUUUUUACAGUUAAUUUCAUUCUAGUACUUUUGGAUCAAUGUUAUAAAUAUAUUUUGGUUUGAGACAA